rnacentral:rRNA from 1 species
AGAACGAACGCUGGCGGCGUGGAUAAGACAUGCAAGUCGAACGCGACUUAUCUGGUUAGCAAUAACUAGGUAAGUUGAGUGGCGAAAGGGUGCGUAACACGUGGGAAUUUACCAAGAAGUGGGGAAUAGCUCGACGAAAGUCGAAUUAAUACCGCAUAUGAUCGCAAGAUCAAAGCCGGGGACCGCAAGGCCUGGCGCUUUUUGAGAAGCCCGCGGCCCAUCAGCUAGUUGGCGGGGUAAAGGCCCACCAAGGCUAUGACGGGUAGCUGGUCUGAGAGGACGACCAGCCACACUGGAACUGAGACACGGUCCAGACACCUACGGGUGGCAGCAGUCGAGAAUUUUUUCACAAUGGACGAAAGUCUGAUGGAGCGACGCCGCGUGGAGGAUGAAGGUUUUCGGAUUGUAAACUCCUGUCACUGCAGAACAGGAUGCGUUUAUGAAUAGUACGCGCAUUUGAUGGUAUGCGGAGAGGAAGGGACGGCUAACUCUGUG